CGUUUUGUAUUAGUGUUUGGGUGCCCUCAUCUGGCGUCUCCAUCCUCUCUCUCCUCCUCUCCGAUCCUUCGUCUUCUCCCUUCAUAUGAGAGACAAUAGCAAUAACCACAUUAUCUCAUAAAUCCCUCCAUUAAUUGACCACCCAUGAUCUAUAUUUAAUGUGAUUCUUGGGACUGCAAAGCGGUGGAAAUUAUUCUAUAAAAAUAUAUGAGCAAUAAGUUAUGGCUAAAGCUUUCUUCUUCCUCUCCAAUUUACAAAGCGACUGCUCUUCCUCCACCAUCCAUGUUUGCCUGCUCCGUUUCUGGGAAGAGAGGAAUAUAUGCCGUGAUGGAGAACUCAUGGGGUUCGACAUACUCCUUGAUUCGCAGGUCAUUUGGAAUAACCCUAAUGACACUAAACCAUCUUCUCAAUCCGUCAAAACAACACUGUAAGCUUAUUUUCUGAGAUAUAGCUCAAGCUUCAAUCUUCCUCUCCUCUCCGAUUUGCAGAACGGACGCUCCUCCUCCGCCGUUCAAGUGCAGUUGAUCGUUUAUUGGAGGCCAUGAACAUCAUCGUUUAUUGUAUUUCCUCCACCGGCUAAGAGCAGAACCGCCUCUCUUUUCUCCGGGUCGGCUUCUUAUUUAAGAGGAAGCAUAUCAGCGAUUGAAUGAGAGAAUAAAAACAGAGAGAUGAUGGGUAAUACGCGUACGAGCUACGCCACAGUUGAAGAUCUGACGGAAGUAUACAUGUCAUAGCUAGAGCUUCAGCCACUAAUGGCGGCGGAAGGAAAUCACUUAGAGGCGGAGGAGGGAGGACAUUACUUAGCAGUGUUGGUGGUCGGAGUUGGUUUAUCUAACAGGCGCCUGCAAUUCCCUGUCAACUUCUCCAUGACACCUAGCAGUUUCUGUUUAUCAACAACAUAAGAAAAGACAAGGCAAGCCUUUACUCCAAAACAAAUAACCUUUACACCAGAGCAAAUAAACGGAAGUUGUUAUGUUAUUAGCCUUUCCAACAAGACUGUUUUUGAUGGUUUGAGGAACAGCGUAUGAUGGGAGGAAGUUCUCUUACAAGGCUAAGCACGAUGUCAAAUAUGCUGCUCGGAUUGCAGCUGUUGAUCUGAAAGUAGUUUACCCGAAUGUCAGCAGUUGCUGAACUGAAAGUAGCUUACCCUAAUGUCAUGGAGGAUUUUCAGGUUUGCUUUUGUUUUAUACAGUUGGUUUGGAUAAUGUUUACGUAAGUGUUUGGUCACCUUAGAUCCGGUUGGUUUUGGUUGGACAAGAAAUUAUCUCAAGUUGUGUGUUUGUGUGGAUAUAUAUGGUUUGGUUCUUGAUUGUGUUUGUAUUGUGCAUGCUCUGAAAGCUUCAACACAGAUAUGGUUCCUAUCAAGCGCUGAUUCACAAGAGAAUAUUGUGAACCCUAACAACUUCAAACCUCAGGUCGAGAUUGAUGACGAGUUUAAGUUUCUGCUCCACGACAUAGACAUCCCGAGCGACCUGCUUGACGUGUAGAUUGAGCUUCUCAAGAUUGGUGUGGAGCCAGUUAUGAACACUGCGCAGAGAGCUGCUUCGGAGAUUGAAAGUGUACAGAAUAAACCAAUACAUAAGAAGAAGAAACAAGAGAUCAGCAAGAGCACAAAACUCACCAACACCCAUCUUCCCGAGCUCUUUCAUAUCCUUAAUGGCAGCACUUCAUGUAUCAAAUUUUGGGUCAGAUCUAUAAGUGAAGAAAUUUAUUUGUGCACUCAUCAUUGCCACACAUAUAGGAUCCAGUCUGAAGAGGAUAUCCUCGAUAAGAUACAAGGUUAAGUUAUUCAUGAUCAAAAGAUGAAUCAAUGUACUACCGAAAUUACAACUUCUGCUUUUCUGUGUUAAUGUGAAUAUCUUUGAUUCA